rnacentral:rRNA from 1 species
CCUACGGGGCGCUGCAGUGGGGAAUAUUGGACAAUGGGCGAAAGCCUGAUCCAGCCAUGCCGCGUAUGUGAAGAAGGCCUUCGGGUUGUAAAGCACUUUCAGUGGGGAAGAAAGCCUUGGGGCUAAUACCCUCGAGGAAGGACAUCACCCACAGAAGAAGCACCGGCUAACUCCGUGCCAGCAGCCGCGGUAAUACGGAGGGUGCGAGCGUUAAUCGGAAUUACUGGGCGUAAAGCGCGCGUAGGCGGUCUGAUAAGCCGGUUGUGAAAGCCCCGGGCUCAACCUGGGAACGGCAUCCGGAACUGUCAGGCUAGAGUGCAGGAGAGGAAGGUAGAAUUCCCGGUGUAGCGGUGAAAUGCGUAGAGAUCGGGAGGAAUACCAGUGGCGAAGGCGGCCUUCUGGACUGACACUGACGCUGAGGUGCGAAAGCGUGGGUAGCAAACAGGCUUAGAUACCCCGGUAGUC